rnacentral:misc_RNA from 1 species
GAUGAAGAACGCAGCGAAAUGCGAUAAGUAGUGUGAAUUGCAGAAUUCCGUGAAUCAUCGAAUCUUUGAACGCACAUUGCGCCCCCUGGUAUUCCGGGGGGCAUGCCUGUUCGAGCGUCAUUUCACCACUCAAGCCUCGCUUGGUAUUGGGCAACGCGGUCCGCCGCGUGCCUCAAAUCGACCGGCUGGGUCUUCUGUCCCCUAAGCGUUGUGGAAACUAUUCGCUAAAGGGUGCUCGGGAGGCUACGCCGUAAAACAAACCCAUUUCUAAGGUUGACCUCGGAUCAGGUAGGGAUACCCGCUGAACUUAAGCAUAUCAAUAAGCGGAGGA